GUGUCAGCAGCCGCGGUAAGACGGAGGGGGCAAGCGUUGUCCGGAAUCACUGGGCGUAAAGCGCGUGUAGGUGGUUGGUUGCGUCGGUGCUGAAAGCGCCAGGCUUAACCUGGCGAGGCGUGCCGAUACGAGCCGACUCGAGGCAGGGAGAGGGUAGCGGAAUUCCGGGUGUAGUGGUGAAAUGCGUAGAGAUCCGGAGGAACGCCAGAGACGAAGGUGGCUACCUGGUCCUGACCUGACACUGAGACGCGAUAGCGUGGGGAGCAAACCGGAUUAGAAACCCUUGUAGUCC
rnacentral:rRNA from 1 species